UACGGGGGGGGCAAGCGUUGUUCGGAAUUACUGGGCGUAAAGGGCUCGUAGGCGGCCGCCUAAGUCAGACGUGAAAUCCCUCGGCUCAACCGGGGAACUGCGUCUGAUACUGGGUGGCUUGAAUCCGGGAGAGGGAUGCGGAAUUCCAGGUGUAGCAGUGAAAUGCGUAGAGAUGUGGAGGAACACCGAUGGCGAAGGCAGCCCCCUGGGUCAAGAUUGACGCUCAUGCACGAAAGCGUGGGGAGCAAACAGG
rnacentral:rRNA from 1 species